rnacentral:rRNA from 1 species
AUUGAACGCUGGCGGCAGGCCUAACACAUGCAAGUCGAACGAGUGGCGGACGGGUGAGUAAUGUCUGGGAAACUGCCUGAUGGAGGGGGAUAACUACUGGAAACGGUAGCUAAUACCGCAUACCAUCGGAUGUGCCCAGAUGGGAGUAGCUAGUAGGUGGGGUAACGGCUCACCAAGGCGACGAUCCCUAGCUGGUCUGAGAGGAUGACCAGCCACACGGGAACUGGGACACGGUCCAGACUCCGACGGGAGGCAGCAGUGGGGAAUAUUGCACAAUGGGCGCAAGCCUGAUGCAGCCAUGCCGCGUGUAUGAAGAAGGCCUUCGGGUUGUAAAGUACUUUAAGCGGGGAGGCGUUACCCUCAGAAGAAGCACAGGCUAACUCCGUGCCAGCAGCCGCGGUAAUAC